GGAAUAUUGGACAAUGGGGGGAACCCUGAUCCAGCGACGCCGCGUGAGUGAAGAAGUAUUUCGGUAUGUAAAGCUCUAUCAGCAGGGAAGAAGAAAAUGACGGUACCUGACUAAGAAGCCCCGGUUAACUACGUGCCAGCAGCCGCGGUAAUACGUAGGGGGCAAGCGUUAUCCGGAUUUACUGGGUGUAAAGGGAGCGUAGACGGUAGUGCAAGUCUGGAGUGAAAGGCGGGGGCUCAACCCCCGGACUGCUCUGGAAACUGUGCGACUGGAGUGCAGGAGAGGUAAGUGGAAUUCCUGGUGUAGCGGUGAAAUGCGUAGAUAUCAGGAGGAACACCGGCGGCGAAGGCGGCUUACUGGACUGUAACUGACGUUGAGGCUCGAAGGCGUGGGGAGCAAA
rnacentral:rRNA from 1 species